rnacentral:lncRNA from 1 species
UGAAUGGAAUGACAAUCAUGGUUUGUUUUUGUCAGGAUUCUAAUGAGGCUCUCAACCAGAGAAUAAUGGCCCUCAACUGAGAAAUUCAACUUUUUACUUAUCUUCUUCACUUGUUCGUUGCCUGCAGUGUGCCCCUUCACUGCAAGCUUGCUCUUGGUCCUCGGUUGCUGGUCACCUGUUGUAAUCAGCGGAGGGCAUGACAGACACAUGGCUGCCUCCAUCAUCCUAAGAUUGAGAAACUGGGCAUACCAUGUCUAUUGCAAAUUAUAGCCUCAAGAAAGCCAUGUAGGCCUCACACCUCAAGGUCAAUGCACCCCCUACCUUGCCCAGAUCAGUACUAACUUUUUUAUGAACCUAUGGUUUAGUGCAUAAAUGCCGUUUCAUUUUCUUGUUAGCAUGGGAGGUCACCGAGAUGGUCUUCAUGCUUUUUUUUUGCAUGUUCAUGCACCAAAUCAUAUAUUUUUUUGCAUGCUCAUUGAAAUUGCUGUUUCUAUUGUUAUAAUUUAUGUUAAGAUCUGGUUUAAUUCUUGCUAUUUUUUGUUGAUAAAAAAUUGCAAUUUAGUAUAUUGAAUUGGACUGCAUGCUCAUCUUUAAGCGUUCACUGAGCAUGGGUUUCCCUGCUGACACCAGUACACAUCUGCUGAAUUAGUAUCCUUUUUACUUUGGUGUAUGGAGGUUGCAAAAGUUUACGAAGUAUAUAUAUAGUAAGAUAAGAUGUACGAUAAAUAAAAUCUAAGAUAAUUAGACUUCAUAUUUCUUUGUACAUGUAAGUUAUCUUUGGUGUGCGAGCUAAUUGAGGAACUCCUCUUUGUUCUCUCUUUACACUUUACUGAUAACACAGAUCAAGUUCGACUAGAUGAUUUAGGUAUCUCUAGGGUUGGGAAUUGUGAUAGAGGCAUUUUUUUUAGUUCAUUACAAUUUUAGAAAAUUCCAAUAGGUGCUGAUGUAUGUAUUCUAGCAAGACAUGUCUUAGUAGUUCAGUUGUAGCCCAGAGGCUUCAUCUCAAGCACCUGCAGUAGGCUACCACCACUUUUUUUUCAAGAUCUUGUGCUUCCUAAUUUCCAUUAUGGCCUCAUUUGAUGGUGUGUGCUUCCUUUGGCUAAGCAAGAUUUUUAUUUAUUCAGAUCUUUUUUCAGUUCACAUGUAUUAGAUCAGGCAACAAAAUUGUUAUCAUGUGGUUACAGGCUUCAGCAAUAUGGGUUGUGGACACAGAUCAGGGAGAGACUUUCUGAAGAAAUCAAAUUUGUGGACUGCAUAGUCAUAAUAUUG